rnacentral:rRNA from 1 species
GAGACUCUGUGCGCGCGCAUAUCAAUAAGCGGAGGAAAAGAAACUAACAUAGGAUUCCCUCAGUAACGGCGAGUGAAGGCGGGAAGAGCUCAAAUUUGAAAUUUCAAGGUUUUACCUUGACGAAUUGUAGUUUAAAGAAGUGUUUUCUGUUGAAGUUUCGGUAAAAGUUCUUUGGAAUAGGACAUCAUAGAGGGUGAGAAUCCCGUAUUUGACCAUUACUUUCCAGCUGUGUGAUACACUUUCAAAGAGUCGGAUUGUUUGGGAAUGCAGUCCAAAAUGGGUGGUAAAUUUCAUCUAAAGCUAAAUAUUGGCGAGAGACCGAUAGCGUACAAGUACCGUGAGGGAAAGAUGAAAAGAACUUUGAAAAGAGAGUUAAACAGUACGUGAAAUUGUCAAAAGGGAAGCGUUUGACACCAGUGUUGUUUAGUUGAAAAUCAAUUCAAUAGUUUUUGAUUCUAAGUAGUAUUGACUUCAUCAGCUUAGCUGCUUUCUUCUCAGAAGUUAUUGAAUGCACUUUUCAGUUAACAAGUCAACAUCAAUUUCUUUUGUUGUAAAAGGGUAAGAGGAAGGUGGCUUGCGCUUCGGCUCAAGUGUUUAUAGCCUUUUAUCUCUGCAAUCGGAGAGAUUGAGGUCUGCAGCGUAGAUCCUUCGGGUUAGAUACAUUGGUGCUAAGCUAUAGCCUUGUAUAGACAACUUGUUGACUAUGCUCAGUCAUGUAGCUUACUCGCUGAUGCUAUUUUACCUACGCUUAGGAUGUUGAAGUCAUCGUAUCGCGC